rnacentral:lncRNA from 1 species
GUAGUAGUAUGGAGGAGGGGGAGAUGGAGAUGGAGGUGGUGGUGACUUGUAAUAGUAAGGUGGUGGUGGAGAAGGAGAGGGUGGUGGAGGAGACUUGUAUUCAUAGUGAGGCUUAGGAGAUGGUGGUGGUGGAGACUUGUAUUCAUAUGGUGGUGGUGGUGAUGGGGAAGGUGGUGGUGGUGACUUGUACUCAUAAUGAGGCUUAGGAGAUGGUGGUGGUGGUGACUUGUAUUCAUAAUGAGGUUUGGGAGAUGGAGGUGGUGGUGACUUGUCUUCAUAAGGUGGUGGUGGAGACGGAGAUGGUGGUGGGGGAGACUUGUAUUCAUAAGGGGGUGGUGGAGAUGGAGAUGGUGGGGGGGGGGACUUGUAUUCAUAAUGAGGCUUGGGAGAUGGAGGCGGUGGGGACUUGUAUUCAUAAGGCGGUGGUGGAGAUGGAGAUGGUGGGGGGGGGGACUUGUAUUCAUAAUGAGGCUUGGGAGAUGGAGGCGGUGGGGACUUGUAUUCAUAAGGCGGUGGUGGAGAUGGAGAUGGUGGGGGGGGGGACUUGUAUUCAUAAUGAGGCUUGGGAGAUGGAGGCGGUGGGGACUUGUAUUCAUAAGGUGGUGGUGGAGAUGGAGAAGGUGGUGGGGGAGACUUGUACUCAUAAUGAGGCUUGGGAGAUGGAGGCGGUGGGGACUUGUAUUCAUAAGGUGGUGGGGGAGAUGGAGAAGGUGGUGGGGGCGACUUGUACUCAUAAUGAGGUUUAGGAGAUGGAGGUGGUGGUGACUUAUAUUCAUAAGGUGGGGGUGGGGAUGGAGAAGGUGGGGGGGGAGACUUGUACUCAUAAUGAGGUUUAGGAGAUGGAGGUGGUGGUGACUUAUACUCAUAAGGUGGUGGAGGAGAAGGAGAUGGUGGUGGUGGUGACUUAUAUUCAUAAGGUGGUGGUGGGGAUGGAGAAGGUGGUGGGGGAGACUUGUACUCAUAAUGAGGUUUAGGAGAUGGAGGUGGUGGUGACUUAUACUCAUAAGGUGGGGGAGGAGAAGGAGAUGGUGGUGGUGGUGACUUAUAUUCAUAAGGUGGUGGUGGGGAUGGAGAUGGAGGUGGAGGAGACUUGUACUCGUAAUGAGGUUUAGGAGAUGGUGGUGGGGGUGACUUGUACUCAUAAGGAGGUGGUGGAGAAGGAGAAGGUGGAGGUGGUGACUUAUAUUCAUAAUGAGGUUUAGGUGAUGGUGGAGGUGGUGAUUUAUACUCAUAAGGAGGUGGUGGAGAAGGAGAAGGUGGAGGUGGAGAAUAGUAAGGAUAAGCAUCUCCUGAUACUGAACUUACACUACUUGAAACAAAAACUACAGCCAACGCUAUGGCCAAGUGAGGCCAAAGACGACCCCACCCGGGGCCGCCGCCGGAACUUCUCAUUUCUU